GAUGAACGCUGGCGGCGUGCCUAAUACAUGCAAGUCGAGCGAACGGACGAGAAGCUUGCUUUUCUGAUGUUAGCGGCGGACGGGUGAGUAACACGUGGAUAACCUACCUAUAAGACUGGGAUAACUUCGGGAAACCGGAGCUAAUACCGGAUAAUAUUUUGAACCGCAUGGUUCAAAAGUGAAAUACGGUCUUGCUGUCACUUAUAGAUGGAUCCGCGCUGCAUUAGCUAGUUGGUAAGGUAACGGCUUACCAAGGCAACGAUGCAUAGCCGACCUGAGAGGGUGAUCGGCCACACUGGAACUGAGACACGGUCCAGACUCCUACGGGAGGCAGCAGUAGGGAAUCUUCCGCAAUGGGCGAAAGCCUGACGGAGCAACGCCGCGUGAGUGAUGAAGGUCUUCGGAUCGUAAAACUCUGUUAUUAGGGAAGAACAUAUGUGUAAGUAACUGUGCACAUCUUAACGGUACCUAAUCAGAAAGCCACGGCUAACUACGUG
rnacentral:rRNA from 1 species